rnacentral:ncRNA from 1 species
GCGGUCGCGAGGCUGGGGCUGAAGAAGAAUGAACUGGAAGAUGCGAGUUAAUGAAUAAAAAUUGGGUAGGAGGCGUGAUAUAUCUAAACGUGAAGACACGGCGUCCUUUAUCUGUGGUAGUUGAUAUGCCGUUGUAAAUCCGGUGUCAUGUAAGCAUACAACUAUUC